AGUCGAACGGCGGCACGGACUUCGGUCUGGUGGCGAGUGGCGAACGGGUGAGUAAUGUAUCGGAACGUGCCUAGUAGCGGGGGAUAACUACCGCCAGCGCUAUUAAUACGCCACGCCCUUCAGGGGAAAAGCGGGGGGACCUUCAGUUUUCCGCACUAUUGGAAGCAACAAUUAUCGGAUAGCUAGUUGGUGGGAUGUAACAGCUCACCAAGGCGACGAUCCGUAGCUGGUUUGAGAGGACGACCAAAUACACUGGGACAGAGACACGGCCCAGACUCACCGGGAGGCAGCAGUGGGAGAUUUUGGACAAUGGAAACCUGGUCAGCCAUCAAUAUACGAUAUGAAGGCCUUCCGGGUUUGUAAAGCACUUUGGCAGGAAAGAAACGGCACCGGGAUAUUACCCAUGCAACUGGGCUUGAUGCAGAAUAAGCGCAAGCUGGCCAGCACGUGCCAGCCGCGGUAAUACGUGGGGUGCAAGCGUUAAUCGGAAUUACUGGGCGUAAAGCGUGCGCAGGCGGUUGGAAGAAGAUGAAAUCGAGCUUAACUUUGGAACUGCAUUUUUAACUUCAAAACUAGAGUGUGUCAGAGGGAGGUGGAAUUCCCGCGAUGUAGCAAUGAAAUGCGUAGAUAUGCGGAAGAACACCGAUGGCGGCAGCCUCUGAUUAUGCUGACGCUCAUGCACAGCAGCACCACGUAGAGGAGCCAAACGGGAUAGAUACCCUGGUAGUCCACGCCCUAAACGUGUCAACUAGCUGUUGGGGCCUUCGGGCCUUGGUAGCGCAGCUAACGCUGUGAAGUUGACCGCCUGGGAGUACGGUCGCAAGAUUAAAACUCAAAGGAAUUGACGGGGACCCGCACAAGCGGUGGAUGAUGUGGAUUAAUUCGAUGCAACGCGAAAAACCUUACCUACCCUUGACAUGUCUGGAAUCCCGAAGAGAUUUGGGAGUGCUCGCAAGAGAACGGAACAGGUGCUGCAUGGCUGUCGUCAGCUCGUGUCGUGGUGUUGGGUUAAGUCCCGCAACGAGCGCAACCCUUGUCAUUAGUUGCUACGAAAAGGGCACUAAUGGACUGCCGGUGACAAACCGGAGGGGAAGGUGGGGAUGACGUCGAAUCCUCAUGGCCCUUAUGGGUAGGGCUUCACACGUCAUACAAUGGUCGGGACAGAGGGUCGCCAACCCGCGAGGGAGCCAAUCCCAGAAACCCGAUCGUAGUCGGAUCCCUGAGUCACCGGCUCAGCUGCGUGAAGUCGGAAUCGCUAGUAAUCGCGGAUCAACGUAUCGCGGUGAAUACGUUCCCGGGUCUUGUACACACCGCCCGUCACCAUGGGAGUGGGUUUUGCAAGUAGUUAGCCUAACCGUAAGGAGGGCGAUUACCACGGUAGGAUUCAUGACUGGGGUGAAGUCGUAACAAGGUAG
rnacentral:rRNA from 1 species